rnacentral:lncRNA from 1 species
AGAUCAAUAGCGUGCGGGGUUAUGAGGAGAGUAUAUGACAUCCAAAUAGUCCUAUAUAAGAUAAUGCGGAGAGUAUAAUAGGUUUAUAAGGGACAUACACACUAGUUAUAAUAAUUACGAUUAAAUAUUUUGGACUGAUAGUUUAUGCCUAAUAAAUUACUAUUAUUAGUGAAUCAAAUCGUUACAAUACCCGACGUGAUAGGCGAGCAUACCUACUUUGCACUUAAACCUCAA